rnacentral:lncRNA from 1 species
AAGAAGUAUUUUGAUUUCUUUUAACUGGGCUAGAAAUUUAAUCUCGGUUUUAUCUGAGAUGUUAACGGAUACAAACAACGAAAGUAUUUUUGAAUAAUUGAGAAAUACGAUGAGUAUAUUUGAAACAAAAAAAAAAAAAAAAUUUAACAUUUUAGAAGUUUUGAAAGGUAUAUAAGUAACGAUAAAAAAUUAGUCGAAUCUAAUUAAAAAAAAGUAAGAGUCACUGCAUAGGACACCACACACUAAUAAAAGAGAGAUAAACAACAAUACACAAAGCGUAACCUAACAACAACAUCACUGAUUCUGCACCACAUAUAUAUAUAGAGUCCGGCUACUAUACUCUUAUGAGUAUAGAGCCUCUUGUACUCAUAAGUUUUUAGUCGUUAGAUAUACCCUUUAAUCAUUUUCACCCGUUAGAUUAUACUAUUCAACCAACCACCCACUCAACCCUAGGGGGCACACUAUCAACCUAACCAUAACCACUCUCAUCCUAACCGCACAUUUUUUCAUCCGAAACACACGUUGAGAGAGACAAACAACAACAACUCUAUUAAUAUUCUAAGGCUGCGUUUGGUUCGGAUAUAAGUAAGAACUGCUAGUUCCAGAGAUAGGUACAAGUUCAGAUAUAAGCAGGAAGUAGACCAAUUUUGCGUUUGGAUGAAAAUUGAGUUGUUCUUAGGAAUAAGGUAAAUAGUAUUUGGAUGGUUAGCAGUUCCAGAGAUAGGUACAAGUUCAGGUAUAAGCAGGAACUAGACCAAUUUCGCGUUUGGAUGAAAAUUGAGUUGUUCCUAGGAAUAAGGUAAAUAGUAUUUGGAUGGUUAGAUUGGAACAAGAGGAAUAAGAAUUAUAAUUUGGAAUUAAAAUUAUAUUAUGUAAUUAAUUAACAUCAAAAUAUUACUUAAAAAUAAAUAAUAAAAUAAUUAUUAAUAAUUAAUUAUAAAUAAUAAAUUAAUAAUAAUAAUUAUCUAAUUAUUAAUAAUUAAUUAUAAAUAAUAAAUUAAUAAUAAUAUCAAUUAUCUAAUUAAUAAUUAUUGAUAAUUAAUUAUAAAUAAUAAAUUAAUUAUAAUAAUUAUCUAAUUAUUAUUAGUUAAUUAUAAAUAAUAAAUUAAUAAAUUAUUUAAUUAUUAAAGUAAUAAAUAAUAAUUUAAAUAUAUUAAUUAGAUUAAUUAAUAAUUUACUGCCAUUAAAAUUAAAUUUAGAUUUUAAUUAACCUUGUUCUUAUCACGGAACAAGCUUGUUCCAGGAAAAGGGUGGAACAGCAGUUCCGGCCUUAUACCAACUUGUUCUUGAAAUUCUGGAACUACUG